rnacentral:rRNA from 1 species
GACGAACGCUGGCGGCGUGCCUAAUACAUGCAAGUCGAACGCAGUGGGGACGGGUGAGUAACACGUGGGUAACCUCCCAUCAGAGGGGAUAACACUUGGAAACAGGUGCUAAACCGAUACUGAUGGAUGGUCCCGCGGGUCAUUAGCUAGUUGGUUAGGUAACGGCUCACCAGGGCCACGAUGCAUAGCCGACCGGAGAGGAUGAUAGGCCACACUGGCACUGAGACACGGCCCAGACACCUACGGGAGGCAGCAGUAGGGAAUCUUCGGCAAUGGACUAAAGUCUGACCGAGCAACGCCGCGUGAGUGAAGAAGGUGUUCGGAUCUAAAAACUCUGUUGUUAGAGAAGCGGUAUCUAACCAGAGAGCCACGGCUAACCACGUGCCAGCAGCCGCGGUAAUAC